rnacentral:rRNA from 1 species
CUUGAGUUCUGGGCCGCACGCGCGUUACACUGACGGACCAGCGAGUACCUCCUUGACAGAGAUGUCCGGGUAAUCUUGUUAAACUCCGUCGUGCUGGGGAUAGAGCAUUGCAAUUAUUGCUCUUCAACGAGGAAUCCCUAGUAAGCGCAAGUCAUCAGCUUGCGUUGAUUACGUCCCUGCCCUUUGUACACACCGCCCGUCGCUACUACCGAUUGAAUGGCUCAGUGAGGCUUCCGGACUGGCCCAGGGAGGUCGGCAACGACCACCCAGGGCCGGAAAGCUAUCCAAACUCGGUCAUUUGAGGAAGUAAAAGUCGUAACAAGGUCUCCGUUGGUGAACCAGCGGAGGGAUCAUUACAGAGUUAUCUAACUCCCAAACCCAUGUGAACUUACCUUUUUGCCUCGGCAGUAGUUGCUGGGCGAGCCUACCCGGGAACGAGCUACCCUGUAGCGAGUUACCCUGGAACGACUUACCCUGGAACGCCUGCCGGUGGACUACUAAACUCUUGUUAUUUUUAAGUAAUCUGAGCGUCUUAUUUUAAUAAGUCAAAACUUUCAACAACGGAUCUCUUGGUUCUGGCAUCGAUGAAGAACGCAGCGAAAUGCGAUAAGUAAUGUGAAUUGCAGAAUUCAGUGAAUCAUCGAAUCUUUGAACGCACAUUGCGCCCAUUAGUAUUCUAGUGGGCAUGCCUGUUCGAGCGUCAUUUCAACCCUUAACCUAGCUUAAUAUUGGGAAUCGACUUUACUGUCGUUCCUCAAAUUCACGGCGGAAUUAUAGCAAUCUCUGAACGUAAAAAUUUUUUUUCUCGUUUUUGAAAUACUA